UUUGGGAUUGCUUUGAACCAAAUGGGACUUGCGUGCGUCCAACGUUACGCGAUCAACGAAGCUGCGGAUUUGUUUGAAGAGGCGAAAGGCAUUCUUGAGAAUGAGUAUGGGCCGUACCAUCCCGACACGUUGGCGGUUUACAGUAACCUUGCCGGAACAUACGACGCAAUGGGCAGGUAUAUUACUAACACAUCUUUUUAGUUUAGGUUAUGUUUUUGAAGUUUCUUGCGGUGUAAGCAAUGUGUUUUUUGGUUUGUAGGUUAGAGGAUGCGAUAGAGAUACUAGAGUAUGUUGUUGGGACAAGAGAGGAGAAGCUUGGGACGGCGAAUCCGGAGGUUGAGGAUGAGAAGCAGAGGCUAGCUGCGUUGUUGAAAGAAGCUGGAAGAGGAAGGAUCAAAAGAAACAGAGCACUUCUUACAAUCUGGAGCUGAGGCAUCUCGUGGGAGGAGAUGUCGGAGAGAGAAAAAAAGACGUUGUCUUGGAGAAGAAGGAAGAAAGCAACAAGGAAAGUAAAAACAGAGAAGGUAGCUUGAGCCACAAGAAACCAGAGAAACUUGCGAAAACAAGCCCUAAUUCGAAAAUCCCUGGUUCGAGGAUCUCUUCGAGGAAAUCUCCAGAUCUCAGGAAGGUGUCUGUAGAUGAAGAGAGUCCUGAGCUAGGACCGUUGUUAUUAAAGCAAGCGAGAGAGAUGGUUUCAUCCGGCGAGAACCUAAACAAAGCUCUUGAUUUAGCGUUACGUGCGGUGAAAGCUUUCGAGAAACGCGCCGAAGGAGAGACGCAACAAGGGUUGAAUCUGGUCAUGUCUCUACAUAUAUUGGCAGCUACCUACGCCGGUUUAGGCAAGUACAACGAAGCGGUUCCCGUUCUCGAACGGUCCAUCGAGAUACCGAUGAUAGAAGACGGAGAGGACCACUCCUUAGCUAAAUUCGCAGGGUGCAUGCAGCUCGGCGACAUGUACGGCCUAAUGGGCCAAGUCGAAAACUCUCUUCUCCUCUACACAGCGGGUUUGGAGAUACAAAGACAAGUUCUCGGAGAAACAGACCCACGAGUGGGCGAAACUUGUCGGUACCUAGCAGAAGCACACGUCCAAGCGAUGCAGUUCGAAGAAGCCUCAAGGCUUUGCCAAAUGGCUUUAGACAUACACAAAGAGAACGGCUCCACAGCUACAGCUUCCAUCGAAGAAGCCGCGGAUAGAAAACUAAUGGGCCUUAUCUGCGACGCCAAAGGUGACUACGAGGUGGCCCUCGAGCAUUACGUUCUAGCCAGCAUGGCUAUGUCCUCACAGAACCAUAGAGAAGACGUUGCGUCUAUAGAUUGUAGUAUCGGUGACGCCUACAUGUCUCUAGCUAGGUUUGACGAGUCGAUAUUCUCGUACCAGAAGGCCUUGGCUGUGUUUAAACAGUCCAAAGGUGAGAAUCAUUCCUCGGUUGCUUCGGUCUACGUCAGGCUUGCUGAUCUAUACAACAAGAUAGGGAAGCUGAGAGAUUCGAAGUCCUACUGCGAAAACGCGCUAAGGAUAUACCUAAAGCCGUCUCCGGGGACUCCGAUGGAAGAGGUGGCGACGGGUUUUGUAGAGAUCUCCGCGAUUUAUCAGUCGAUGAACGAGCUUGACCAAGCGCUUAAGCUGCUGAGACGCGCGUUGAAGAUAUAUGUGAAUGCUCCGGGUCAGCAGAACACGGUUGCUGGUAUUGAGGCUCAGAUGGGUGUGAUCUCUUACAUGAUGGGGAACUAUCCUGAGUCUUAUAACAUCUUCAAGAGCGCGGUUUCGAAGUUUCGAAACAGCGGAGAGAAGAAGACGGCUAUGUUUGGGAUUGCUUUGAACCAAAUGGGACUUGCGUGCGUCCAACGUUACGCGAUCAACGAAGCUGCGGAUUUGUUUGAAGAGGCGAAAGGCAUUCUUGAGAAUGAGUAUGGGCCGUACCAUCCCGACACGUUGGCGGUUUACAGUAACCUUGCCGGAACAUACGACGCAAUGGGCAGGUAUAUUACUAACACAUCUUUUUAGUUUAGGUUAUGUUUUUGAAGUUUCUUGCGGUGUAAGCAAUGUGUUUUUUGGUUUGUAGGUUAGAGGAUGCGAUAGAGAUACUAGAGUAUGUUGUUG
rnacentral:lncRNA from 1 species